rnacentral:rRNA from 1 species
AUUGAACGCUGGCGGCAGGCCUAACACAUGCGAGUCGAGCGGAUGAAGGGAGCUUGCUCCUGGAUUCAGCGGCGGACGGGUGAGUAAUGCCUAGGAAUCUGCCUGGUAGUGGGGGAUAACGUCCGGAAACGGGCGCUAAUACCGCAUACGUCCUGAGGGAGAAAGUGGGGGAUCUUCGGACCUCACGCUAUCAGAUGAGCCUAGGUCGGAUUAGCUAGUUGGUGGGGUAAAGGCCUACCAAGGCGACGAUCCGUAACUGGUCUGAGAGGAUGAUCAGUCACACUGGAACUGAGACACGGUCCAGACUCCUACGGGAGGCAGCAGUGGGGAAUAUUGGACAAUGGGCGAAAGCCUGAUCCAGCCAUGCCGCGUGUGUGAAGAAGGUCUUCGGAUUGUAAAGCACUUUGAGUUGGGAGGAAGGGCAGUAAGUUAAUACCUUGCUGUUUUGACGUUACCAACAGAAUAAGCACCGGCUAACUUCGUG